ACUCAGCUGAUGAGUCUUAGAUAGGACGGAACGCUCGUCCUGAAU
rfam:Schistosoma margrebowiei strain Zambia genome assembly, scaffold: SMRZ_contig0004077